UUGGAAAUUUUUUAAGUUCUAUUUUGAGUCGCAUAAAAUUUUUCUAAGUCCCAUAAUUUAUUCAAAAAACAAAAAAUAUGGCCGAAAAAAGGCCGAUUCAAUUGUCGGCCAACUUUCAGCCUAUUUAUUAAGAAUAAAGAUUUUUCGGCGUGUUUUCGGCUAAACUUUGACCUCUUUGAAUAAAAUUCUAUAUGGCGUGAUUUCGGCCAAAUUUAGCCUUUUCGGCCAAUAUUUUUACCCGCGAUAUGCAAAUUGGUGUUUACUCGACAAGAUACUCUUCGAAUUAAGUAUAAUAAUAAGUUUCCAUAUUAUCUGUCAUGACGCACGAUUCUGAUUACAUGUGUUGAAUUUUUUACCUAUAAAUUAGACGAAUUUUGAUAUAGAAGUGUCAUUUAGUAUCGAUAUACAGUAGAAGAAUUAAUUACAAAGAUAACGAAAAAAUUUCCAACUUUUUUAAAAUACACGUUGGAGUGAUUGAUUAUUCAAAAAUGUCAAUUAAAUUUGUUUUGGCUCUCCUUAUCGGGAUAAUGACAGUUUCAAGUAUUGAAGGUUGUUCUACUACUGUAUGCUCAGGAAAAAAUCAACCUUGUAACCAUAUUUUAAAAUGUUGCCGUGAAUAUAUUUGUGAACCAAGAUUUAUAGAAGACAACGAUUCUAUAUGUAAAGAAAGAAGUGUAAUUUUAGGAUUUCAAUAACUACACUGAUAGAAGGAUUUCUUAGCAUUUAAAAAAGAUUUCUCAGUAUUUAAGCAAUCAGUGUAGAUACAUAUGAAAUUGAAUUUUAUUUCAAGAAAUUUAUUGUAAGGAUAACGAAACA